CUAACCUACACAGGCUAAACUUCACAGAGGGAUCCGCCGGCUGGAGGGAGAGGAGGCUGUACUAAGAGAAACACCCACUGCUGCCCACAGCGGCGUCCAGCAGCCAGGCUCUCUUGGCAGAGAUGCAGGGCGGGUCGAAAUCUCAAGGGACUGAGCCUCUCCGCUUUCAGAUUGCACCGCAGGCCACCGCCCGCACCAGCGCCGCUUUGGCCGAAGGCGGUGCGAGCUGCGGCCGGGCAGCAGGCAAGGACGUCCCCCGUGCGCGCGGAGGACGCGGACGAGGAGCUGUGUUUGCGCGGACAGAAGGUGCUGCAGGGGAAACCGAGGCCUCCAGGGCCGCAGCGCUGAGGGAGCCGGGACGGCGCCAGCCUGCCGACGCGGGGCACGAGGCUGCCGUCGGCGCCGGCCUGCUGAGUGAGCAAAGUGGAAGCGCGGGGACGCGGCGGGGGCCCGGGGCAGGGCUGAGGCCAGCGAGACAGCGCGCCGAGAGCCGGCGAGAGAGGGUGUGUGUCGGGGCGUGAGUCUGGGCGGGUGUCUGGAGGGAACGGCGAGCAGGGAGGGGCGGAGGCGGGAGGAGGGGGGAGGAGAAAGAGCGAAGGGCCCUAACGGGGUUCUGGGCGGCCAGCUGCCUGGCCCCGGGCCAUCAAGCCACCGCCCCCAGGCCUUGCGCUGACGCUGGACGGUCCCCGCCUCCAGACCCCCCGCCCCACCAGAGAAUAACUUACCUGUUUGCCCACGGAAUCGCUCCUGCUCGCCCCUCUGACUGACUCCUCCGGCUCACCGUCUUCCCUUUGGGAGGAAGAGGCGGCACUUCCUGUCUCUCCGUUGAAAGACUUCCGGCGGUUCCAAGGUGUCCGGUGAAUGGAGCUCCGGGUACCACAAUUUUAAAAACAAGAUUUUCCAAUUAUUUUAGUAAAUCCAGUUUUAGUUCCUAGUCUUUUGCACUGAGUAGCUGGUAGCUCCAUGUAUCAACUCGUUUUCGCCCAUCAGCUUUCACCGGAAGUCUAAACGAUAAAAGAGGACGUUCUACCCCUCCCUUCGAGUAAAAAAAAAAAAAAACGGAAAGCCAGAAGAGCCAAUAUAAAGAGAGACGCGCGACUGACUAAAAAACGGGAGGUGUCAUCCCGAGCGCCGCCUGACGUUUCUGGAUUGCGUCAGAGCAAGUUCUUCGUGGGCCAGUCUCGCCUCCUUCCUGACCUGCUGUCUCCACCUCGGAGGGCAGUGCCUACUUUCCCACUUCCCCUCUCCCCUGCCCUUCAGGCUCUUGUCCCUUCUGGUGCACUGAUUUAAAGAUCCGAUGAUUAUCGGCCAUGCGAGCCUUUAUACUGAGAAGAACCUAUCAAACGACAACAAAAUGGGAUCCUUACUCAGGCUGGAGGGAUCGGAGCCGAAGGCUAACACUAAUGAGAAUAAGCGGAAUACAGCUGGUGGGCCAGUUUGGCCAUGGAAAAAUGAAAACGCCUUUGGUAUUCAAAACUUUACCAUACGGGUGUACGUGAAUGUUAACACAAGAUAGUCUCAGGAAGAAAGGGUAUGGUUCAAGGAUACAUUGCUUACCGCCCUUUGCAAGUGCUUUCUCAAAUUUCAAAUUUAAAGCAGUUUCUUCUGAAACUAACAAUUUGCCAGGAGGGGUGUCUUGCUGUCUUGUUGCUGGGCCAAAAUACCUGGUGCCCAAAAUUAAAGAGGGAAAGGUUUAUGUAACUCAGUUUGUGGAGGUUUCAGGCCAUACUGGGCUGAGUCCAAAGCAGGGUGGUGUACGGCAGAGCACAACAGUUGAUGGUGGUGGAAAACAGUAAAAGCAGCAAAAGCAAACCGAAAGUUGCAUAAGGGAAGACUUUCUGUCCCUCAUAUUGUGUGUAGGUCACCCACCCUAGGAUGGGCGUAGCACUCACACCCAGAAUCCCAACACUAAACAAUGAAUCAAUCACAAACUAGAUUUAGGCCCCUCUGAAAAGCAUUCCUCCAUGACUGCAUGAGGCUUUGGAGGGACAUUCAGACAUAACAAGAGAUCUAUGUAGAUGAUGAAUAUAUCACAGCUUGAUAACUGCUGUGACAAAGUUGUUUGUAGUGAUUGAUGAUGAUAAUCCUGACACAGGGUCACCAGAGGAGCAGAGGACAAACUCACCCCUGGGCUCUUAACCUGUUACUCAGAAACAUGAUUUGUAUUUUCUUUUUAGGGAUUUAAAAAACAUUUUUUGCUAAAAACCUACCUUCACUUAGACCUGUAGAUGCCCAGUAGGAAACUAAAAACAAAGCUUGACCUUUGUUUUGUAAAACUAGAUCAAAUACUCAACUCAGUAUUAUAGGCCUGUUAGUCAUUAAUGAAAUGUCUAAAAACAAAUAACUUAGCAAAUAACUUUAUUAGCCCUAAAUUUGCUUAGCUUAUCACCCUUCAUGACUGAGAAUAGCCUUGCAGAAAAUCCCCAAUGCCUUAAAUUUGUGGUCACAUUGAACUCCAGGAGAUCUUUAAAUGACUAAUACUGCCCCAAUCAUAAGAAUUCCUCUCAGGGGAACCAAAUUACCCUCAAGCCAUCAGAAUUUGUAAUCAACUAGACCAGUGAGGGUAACACUUUUUGAACUUUAAAUGAUACAUAACACCCCACUGUAGGUUCCCCACCAUUGGAUGAGACCAUUGCCCAUCUCAGCUAAACCUUAAAAUCUGACCUGCUUUUGUGAGUAGGCCAGUCUGAUCAUCAGAAUGCUGGAGACCUUUCCUGUCUUAUCUCACUUUCCAAUUAAAGCAUUUGCCUGUAAACUAAUUUUGUCACUUUAGUUUUAGUUUCUAUUUUCACUGAAACAAUCCAAGAUAGCCACUAUUACAGGUGAGACUGAAGAUAUGACUUUUGACUUUGUUUUAUAAGCAUAGGAAACAGAUCAUAGUGGGACAUUAUCAGAUUUGCACUUAAAAAGAUAAUUCUAUAUCUUCACACACAAAUUCACACAAAACAAAAUAGUAUAAAACUGAUCAAAGCAAGAUAGUGAAAGCAUUACAGGGAUUCAAAACCAGACAAUAGGAAAACCAACAGUGGCUACCGUAAUGUAAAAAGAUAAUUCUAAGUAAAUAGGAUAAAGGUGUCCUGAAGAUAGGCUUUCUUGACCAAAUUACCUCUCAAGGCCAAUUCCAGGUAUUAUGGAUUGCUUUAGGUAAAAAUAUUACAUGCAAUCGGACAGGGCUAGGCCCUCAAGAGGUCAAUGCAAAAGACAACAGUGUCUGAACCAAACUUCAAGAAAAAAAGGAACUACUCACUCUUGUUUCUCCCUAAAGAUGAACAGCAGUGAUUGAUAUUCUAAAUAGUCAUCAAUCACCUUGGGUGAAGCACCAAACCUGCUCAACCUGCUCCUUCUAGGAAGGUUCUUGCCCAUCCAAUGUAUGCUUGCUACUUCCUAUGUGUCUUGCUUGCCAAUUUGAGCCCCAUGUAAUCAAUAUUACAUAAGUGACCAUAACUACUGUAACCUCACAGGUUCACCAUAGUGUUGUCUCACCUCAUACCCACCUUGUGAUUUCCCACUGAAUGAAGAUUACCUAAAUGACCAUACUACAAAUCUUCCUGAUUGAUUAUAGUUCUGUCCCAUCUUGAAACUGCCUCACUCUGCAUGGCUUUAUUCACAUACACUCUUGAAAAGUGGGGUUGACAGGCAACCUACCCCAGGGCUCUUCAGGUCCCUCUUAGAAGCUUUCUUUCUCUCAAUAAAUUCUUCCUAUUCAUGACCUCCAUUAUUCCUAAAAUUCAUUCCAUGAUCUAAACUAUGUGAACUACAUGUUCACAGACAUCUAGCAAAUAGGGGGUUUCUUUCCCCUUUAUCACAGGUACAAUUCAGUUUGAGUUAGAGUGCUGUCAGGCAAUAGUGUCCUAUCUUUUUUGUACCUUUGACAGAGAACUUUUUGUAGAUAUUAUCUGGUUCAAUUUCCAUUGUAAUCUACACUUCCUAUUGGUAUAGGGGAACAAAACUUUUGACCUACUAUAUGUCUAGUGUGAGUUUGUGUUAUCUAAAAUCAAAGAACGAGGGCCAGAGAUUUAGCUCAGCAGCACAAGUGCCUGCCUGGGAAGCAUGGGUUCAAUCCCCAAUACUAAAAAAAAAAAUUAAAAAAUUAAAAAUAAAUAAAAUUGGGGGCUGGGGAUUUAGCACAGUGGCGUAAGUGCCUGCCUUGCAAGCAGGCAGUCGUGAGUUUGAUCCCUGGUACUGAUAAAAACGAAAAAGACCAAAAAAUAAAUAAAUAAAAUCAAAGAAUGAAUUUUAGGAACGAUGGAAGUUAAGAGCUGAAAUAUUUAUUGAAAGAAAGCUUCUGUCUGAGAGAGAGACAGAAAGGGUCUGAGUUUUCAGCACAAUAAAAGAGAGAAUAUAAAUUUAAAAAUAGCCUUUAUUCCAAGGACAUGGAAAGAACUCCAUGACCACUGGCAGCCUGGCUUUCUCUGGCCUGGCUGGAACAUGGGGCAUGGAAUAUACAUAUAACCUCUGACCGGAAGCUGUGCUUAGGGCAGGCAUUGAUGACACACAGGAGCUGAUUGGAGUUUUCUUCAUGCACAAACAGGAAGGAGAGUUGUAAUUAAGGCUGAGGAAGAAGCAGGAAGUGGUAGGCAUUCCGUUUUGGCCUUCUGCCCCAUUAGACCACUGCCAUAGUUUCUACUAAGGCAAGAACCUUUCAGGGUCCUGAGUGGGUUGCCAAACAUUCUGUAUUUUCUAGGGAUUUUUAUACAGUAAAACCAUGAGGUGAGGCGGGUCUAAAGAAGGAAAACUGGAAACUCAAAAGGCAGAUGGGCAUGAGGUGGGACAGAGCUAUAGUCAACCAAUAAGUUUAAUUGUUCAGGUAAAAUUGACUGAGUUAGUGACAAAUGGGAAAUGAGUUGCAUAUCAAGCCAGCAUUCUUUAUGGAUCAGUGACUCCAUGGGGGGCAGGGAUGGUGAUUCCUGGCUUCUCAGGCUGAUCCAUACCUAAUCCCUACGGUUUAUAUUUAAAGAUGUGCUUUUUUUUUUUUUUUCUUUUUUAUCGGUACCGGGGAUCAAACUCACGACUGCCUGCUUGCGAGGCAGGCACUUAUGCUGCUGAGCUAAAUCCCCAGCCCCUUGUAUUUGUUUUGCCUUCUGUUUUGAGAUCUGGCCCACAACAAGAGAUGUGUGUCCCCUCCAAGGUCACAAUACAUUGGGUCCUCUGUGCCAGUUUCUUCAAGGGCCUGGGCCUGUCUGGCUGCCUAUAAUAUUUCUAACUAGCUCAGCUGCCUGUAACAUUCUCACCACAGUAGGAAACUGCAGUUUAGAAAAGUAAAGUGUCCAAAGAUCACAUAUCAGUAAAACUGGAACAGACCAUAAGGUCACUGUCAGCUUUUUCACUAUGUUGAUUCGGCUUACUAAGAGUUAUUUUUAAAUCCUAGUGAAAGCAGUAGAAAUGUUCCUCAGAACAGGUGAUCGACUUGUCAAAAUUAUACUUAUUCCAUUAACUAGCAUUUCUUGGGUGCCUACUGUAUAUAACUAAAACUAGAUUCUUUAUUUUUCAUGUGAAAUUUACCUAAUUUUUUAAAAAAAUUUAAGACAUAAUAUGACCUCAAUAGCUGUCCCAACAGUUUUAACCUUCAAUGCAAGAUGAUAAAUUUCUUGACAAUAAAAGUCGCUAGUACAAGACUCCUGAUAAAUUAGGCAUUCUCUUGCUCUUUGGGUGAUUUAUCACUCUAAAUUUCUUAACCCAGAGAUUUAUUUAACAUGUUAUCUUACCUUAAGCAGUAAAACCUGAGUUUAUUUUUCAGUUCUAUCAUCCAUUAUUUUUCUGAGACAGUAAAUUUACACUGUACCACAAUGUUAAAGAAGUUCAUUUCACCCCCUUCAACUUUAGGCUGGUAAUAAGAUGGUAUGGCUAAAGUGACUCCAGGAAUCAUAUGUACCGAUAAAAUUAUUCCAAGCAGAAAGCAAAACUGCUUAAGACACACGCAUUUUCUCUCCCUCUCCCUACCAACUUCCUACCCUCUCUUCUCUCUGAAAGGUUCUUGCCCUGGUAUACAUCACUGCACCAUUAUGGCGGUGGUCCAACAUGGCGGAAGGCCACAGCAGGAAUGCUUCCUCCUUCUUCAGCCCUAAUUGCAACUCCCUUCCUGUUUGUGCACAAAGCAAAUUCCAGUCCCUUCCUCACAUGUCAUCAAUGUCUGCCCCAUGCUCCACUUCCAUCAGAGAUCAUAAAACCCUCUGCCUCUCUGUAUCUAGUCGAAGGACAGAGCCCAACUGCCAUUCAUUGUUGCUCCUUUUCAUGUUCUCAAUAAAACUGGGCCUUUCUUUUUUUACUUUUUGCUUCUCUAUUGCCCAAGAAAACUUGUUAACACUCCCCCCUCCCUUCCCCGUCUGGCCUCUUCCUUGCUCUCUCCUUUGACUUUUAUAAUUUUUCCUUUUGCAAUAGUUUCAUAUUUAAUAAUCAAAUUGAAAAAAAAUACAAAGAACUCCCAAGUGUCCUACACUUGACAGUCGAUGCCUAUCUACAUUUUGCUCUGUUUACCUUAUUGUUUUAUGUGUGUUUUUCUUGAAUCAUUUAAAAAUACCUGGAAAAUGACACCAUUUAAAUCCAAAAUGUAUUAGCAUACAUGUUGAAAGAACCUGGAGAAUCCUUUGGCCACAGUACAAUUAUCAGGAUUAUGAAUUAGCACGCUAUGAUAUUUUUAUCUAGUAAUCUAAUCUGAUGCAUAUUUUAUGCUUAUUUUUUACCUUGUUCUCUUAUAUGCUAUACACAAUUUAAAGAAUUUCCAAAAGGAAUUAUAGAUAAAAGUUGCAGUGAAGGAUAGAGAAAACAAAUCGUAAUACACUGUGUAAUGGUUGAUACAUUGUGUCACUUUAAAAGUUUAGAAGUUUAACUGAGGGACUCAGCAGGGGCCAGUGUUCUCACUUUGUUAACAUCCUCAUUCUGUGCAAGAGGAGGGCACAGAGAUUGUGAGUUCUCUACCAGCCAUGAGGAACCUGGCUCCCCCGCUACACCUUUGCUCUUGCCACUGUUUUUAUCUUCUGCUGUCUUGAAUGCCCCUGUGCCAUGCCACUCUGGCUUGGAGCCAGUUGAUUGCAGACUAAAAUCUCCACAAACUGUGAGCUAAAUAAAUAUUUAUUUCCUUCAUUUUGGAUGUUGAGUAUUUUGUCUCAGCAAUGACAGAAAAGUAACCAAGACAGAAUUUGGUACCAGAAAAAGUGAGAUCAUUGCGGUGACUGUACUUGACCAUAUGGUUUAAGAGCCUUUGAGAAUGGUUUGUAGGAAGAGUUUGGAAAGGUUUAGUAGUGAUGUUACCUGAAAGAAUAGAACUGGAACACAUUAGGCUGUUCUGUAUAGGAGAUUCUAGUCAGAGCUCAGAACUUAGAGGACCAGAAGGCUGACAGAAAUCUUGCCAGUAAAAACCAGAUUGUGAGGUUGCUGCUGGGAAGGAAGGUUGUUGGAUUCCAGAUAAUGUGUAUUAUAGCUUGAUAGGAAGUUUGUUUGCAUUUUGCUCUUGUUCAGAGGCUUUGCUUGAGACUGAGAUUAAGGGUGGUGUGCUAAUUAAUCUGGCAGAAGAAAUUUCAAUUCAGUUGAAUGUUGAGACUGUUGCAUAGCUGUUGUUGAGGACUUUCAGCCAGAUCUAUGUUGAGCCCAACAGGAUGAUUGAAAAUGAGUUUGGCCAGAAAAGAACCUCCAGGGAUACUGUGGACUGCAAAGAUUAGAGCUGAGGAGAUCUUGACUGCAGAGAAGGAAUGGGAGAAUAUGACAAAUGGCCUGAGAGUAUCACAAACAGCAGCAAGUCUCCACCCUUUGUAGUAUUUAAACUGCAAAUGUGAAAGACUUUGCUUUGAGGAGAUAGCUGCAGAGCACCAUGUUCCAGAAUGGCAGAAGCAUGGCAAAUUUGUUCCUUAGAUUUGGAUUCAGAGUGCCCAGUGAUCUAGGCAUUUGACCCCUAUAUCCAAAAGAGAGAAAGCCUGGUUACUGCCCCAGCUGGCAGCAGACCUUCACAUCAUCCACAUAGUGCUGCUGUUAGGUGCAUGCAGAAUGUAAGAGUCAUUAGGUUAAAAGGGCUUUCACACUGAUUUCAGAAGGCCUGGAGCCCAGACAGUGUGCCCCUGAGAGGACAGUGUGUGAAGCUAUGAGUGUGAAGCCAAAGUUGCAGUGGAGGUCUCAGAAGUGUAGGAAAGCUAGGAAUGUAGAUUGUCUAAGGAAAGCUGACAGGAGGGAACAAAAUGGGCCUAAGAGAGAAGCCACUGGAUGUACAACCACCAGAGGUGCCAUAGGGGUGGAGGAGUCACUCAAGCCCUUGGAAGCUAACAAUCUGCCACAGAUUGCUUCAGAUGCUAGACGUGGCACUAUAAGACUUAGUCUGCCCUGCUGGAUGUGUUUGCUUUAUAUAAUUUCUUUGCAUUCCCCUAUUUGUAACUUUUGGUAUGAAAAAAAAAAUUUUUUUUUUGGUACCAAGGAUCGAACUCAUGACCUAGCAUUUGCCAGGCAGGUGCUUAUGCCACUGAGCUAAAUCCCCAGCCAGAAUGAAAAUAUUUAUCUUGUGCCACUGAAUGUUGAAAGUGUUUAACUUUUUAUUUGUACAGGGACUUGCAACUAAGAGUUUACCUUACAUCUCAGAGGAGAUUUGGGUCUUGGACUUUUCAGCAAUGCUAAAAGUAGGACUUUGGAAACUCUUGCACAUGGACUAUAUACUUUUUGCAUAAAGAGAUGUGCAUGAGUCUGUUGGGGGCCAGGGGCAGGAUGUUAUGGUUUUAAUGUAAUAUAGUAUUGAUAGAUUUAAUACUGGUUCUUAAGGAUUGUUAAAUCUAUGUUAUAAUGUUCAAGUUAUAAAAUGAUAAGAGUAAGCA